rnacentral:rRNA from 1 species
CCAUGAGUAAAGUGGCGACCGGGUGAGUAACACGUGACUAACCUACCUUCGAGUGGGGAGUAACUCCGGGAAACCGGGGCUAAUACCGCAUAACAUCGCAAGAUCAAAGCAGCAAUGCGCUUGAAGAGGGGGUCGCGGCCGAUUAGCUAGUUGGCGGGGUAACGGCCCACCAAGGCGAAGAUCGGUAUCCGGCCUGAGAGGGCGCACGGACACACUGGAACUGAAACACGGUCCAG